CAGGGCAGUUUGCUACGAGGACAGGUACAGUCCCACUAGCCCAGGGACCUCCAAGAGAGCUGUGUGUUUGCAUCCAGUGUUCAGACUGGGCGUACAGCGUGGGAUGCGAAUGGUCCAGCGAUAACCCCAUAGAGACCAGAGGUGCAGGAUCACCCUGAAGGUGGUAGAUGGGAGAAGGAGGUGACGGCCGCUGUGCUGGAGAUACACUGCUGUGAGACUCUCUGGACAGACGCAACAGAUUCAUUUCUUUUGUGUCCUGUGUUGCUGAGCAUCUCUCAAUAUAUUUCUAACAGUAACCACACCUGAUAUCGCAGCCAGCAAGACCAAGAGGUCACACCUGCACCUGCUUCCUCCCUCACAGGGUCUCAUCCUACCCAGUGGGAGCCUGUGAGCUCUGACCCCGUGGCUGGAACGAGCCUGCCAUCAACACCUGCUUGGAGGAGCCAAUUUAAGGUCUGACCCACCAGCUCAGACCUCCUGAUGGAUGGAGGUGGUGACCAGCAGCCCUAGAGAGACCCUACAGCUGAUUUAGAUCUAGUGGGAGAGGAGGGAAGCUGGAGCAGCCAUGGAGCUCACCCUGUUCACCAGUGCUCUCAUUUGCAAAAUAUUCAGGCAGCAGGACAUAUGGAAAUCAUAUGAGGUUUUACCGCAUUACAUUUGAAAGCGAUCACUUUAAGAAUGUGGGGGCUCUCGAGUCGCAGGAUGCUCUCUAAUGCCGGACUGCUGAGGCAUCACCCAGAGGAUGGGAAUCCAAAACUCCUCGGUCUUUCAUCUUUGGGGGAUCACUAAGCUCCCUUGGUUGAAAGUGUAUUUGGUGAUGGUCAAAAAUCUCCCACUGAACUUUUUUCCGGGGAGAACAUGGGAUUUGGUUAUGUCGAUACCAUCUGUGUUCUCAAAAUGUUUGUUUUUUGAAUUGGAAACUGAAACCCCCACUGGUGAGCAGCCCAGUUCUCGGGAUCCAGCACCUGCCAAGGGGAUUUGUAAUGAUGAUGAGCACAGCAUCACCCAUCGUGGUGAUGUCUCCUGAGCUGGCACCUCCCUGCUGCCACAGAGCUGGAAAUGAGACAGGAAUGGUGAUGUGAGCAGGAGAUUUCAGGAAUGGGACUUUCUGACCAUGGCUGUUCCCACCCCUCUUUUCUUGCCUAGUGCGUCCCUGACUGCACAAAUUAGUCCUUAUCUGGCUCCAGCCAUGCCUACUGCCACUGAACUCCGCUUUUCCUAGAGGGACUCCACCCUUACCAUCCUUAUGCUUUUUAUUUGGGGUAACAGACAGUAAUUUCUCUAUUAUGGAUCAGCUGUAGAACCUGCCCAUGGCUCUGAUCACCAGCUAUAUGGUAACUCUGAAGCAGCGAACAAAGAGGUGUUACACAAGGUCAGCUCCCGCUUGCUAUUUUAAUUGUGCCUUUGCUGUUCGGGAGGUGAACGAAGCCUUGCACCCCCGCAGGACUGAAGGGGUAAGAACCAAGAAAAGCCGCCCAAAUCUACGUGGGCAGAAAAGUAAUUUGCUUUGCAGAAGGCCUGAAGCAGAGAGGGUGGAAGGAAGAAAGAGAGCAAGAAGGAAAGACAGACAUCUGCCAUGCAGCUCCCGCACCGGUAACAGGAACGAUGUGUCUGUUCAGACCGGAGCACACAUUGGUUUAGCCGGGCAAUUCUGCUGUCACAUGCCGCGCACCAGACAAAACCAUACAUCAAAGUUCCUCAGCACUUGCUAAGCAGCGAGCGUGGUCAUUUAUCAUGUAACGUUACAGACAUGCUAUUGCACCGUGGAAUGCGGUAUGUUACGCUGGAACACAGUGGCAGCCGCCUCCAAACGCGCUGAACGAUGGGGCGAUUUUGGGCUGGGGGAAAACAUCGGUUAGCUAUUACAGUGUGACCGUCAGCCUUGCCUUGUUUCUCAUUUAAGUUGCUCCGCUGAGGCUGCAUCAUUAAAACUUUCCUCGCUUGCAAUGUCUUUGCACCUCGUGUGUGCGGGAUACGUGAUAUACAAACAUCUUCCUACCCAGAUCGGGUCUCUAGGAUUAAAAAUAGAUGAUGAAUUAAAAUUUCAUAUGAAAUUCUAGCUUUGCUUUACCUGAUUAUCUGGAGUCAGCAAAGACAUAACUUCAGGCUUCUUAAGAUCUCCAGACGGGCUGCUUCGGAACGCUGGCAGUGUGCGCAGACGUGAUCAGCUCUACAAGGACAACAUGGGAUGAAUCGAUCAUACAAGAUUGAUGAGGCCACCAGGCGAAGUUUGGGUGAGAACCGCUUCCAGAUUUAACACCAGCUUUGCCUUCAUACUCCAACUGAAAGCAGAACUUUAUUGCCUGAGCACUGAGUAACUCGGGAAGGUUUAACCUGAGAGUCGCAUCUUUUCCCAGCUCCCUGAAGUGAGGGGAGCUUUGCCGAGCCCUAGGAAUGAACUGGGACGUGCACAGAUAGCAUCGGUGACUGCAGGUCCUGUGCAAGGAAAAAUAAAGUGCUCAAGUUGCAAAAAAAAAAAAAAAGAGCAAUCUAGGAGUGAAACAUGAGAGAAGUAUGUAGCCUGCCUGGCAGCUCCCUGUCGCUCCAACUUAACCAUCGAGGCUGCGGCGGAACCUUGGACUCACUUCUUGCUCCAGGAAAAGCCGCUUUGGUGCGGCUGGGAGGACUGGAAAACCUGCUCGUAUAAAACGAUAUUUGCAGAGUAAUCGGAGAAAGAAGAGAGAUCGCGCCAUUUGUGAAAGCAAUCUGUGCGGAUGAGCCGGGCAGCACAAGCAACGCCAGCAGCUCAGCUAAUCCAGCGGGAUGGAUCUAACGUGAAUAAACCAGAAGUGGAGGAAAGGAGAUAAGCCCUGGCACGGCUGUUGGCAGAAGGGGUUUUUUUCUCGCUUCGCCAACAGGAUUCCAGCCACCCACAAAACCCCCAACGUAUUUUUCCUUACAUUAGCCAAUUAAAACCCCAAUCUUAACUCCAAUAAACUCCCAGUGGUGCUGUAUACUGUUAUUUAUUUGUGCCUCCCGGUGCUGAUGAGCAAUCCUACAGGACCACAAGCCAGCAGUAAGACAUUUCCACCUCCAGUGCAGGCAAAGGAAGCGAAAUCAUCCGGGGGGGGGGGGAACCCAUGGACCAAGAAGAGACAAAUGGGAUUUUCAGAAUCGCUCUGAGCCGAACAAAGUCUGAUCUCACUGAGGUUAACUAGAGCUUUAUUCCCGGUAUCCGUAGGAGCAUCAUUACCGGGGGUAGUCCCAGCCAGGGCAGAGAUGGGGGCUGAGCAGCACCAGGCAGCGUAUGCCGAACGGACGCGGCUGGGCAGGGUGGAAGUGCUGUCUCCCGGAUCCCAGCCUUCCCGGGGAAUCUGGCCUUGACUAAGCCAGCAGAGCACGUUCUGGGGCGUGACAUUGCUCGUGACCUCCAUGGGCUACGAGGGGCAUCAGGGACAGACCUGUGAGCACAGUCCACCUCUCCUCACCCUCCGGGAAAUGUCUCUGAAGACAAAGCUCACAAGUGGAAAAGCUGCAAAGUGCCUGAGGUAGUAGGAACGGACCUUCAGCCAGGCAACCGGGUGACUUCUGGGGUAAGACGACUGGUCCUUGCACAAUAAAAUCCCAGAAUGACUCCAGAUUCCCCUGAUUGAGGCCAGAUUUGUUCUUUCACUUCCAAAUGGACUGCAAACCUUCAGUCAUGCACACAGCGUCAGCAAGACACUAAAAACCGACUGUCCCACCCCGAAGAGACCUGGAGCCCCUGUUAUGGAUCCCGUCCUGUCCAGGUACCUCCUAUCAGCCGAGAGUCCCCAGGUCAUUGCUGAUGCAGCAACGACGGAUGAGACGGAAAUCUGCAUGCUGGCUGCUGUGGGAUGGUGCGGUGGGUGAACAGCAACGUGGCCUGAACCAACAAAGACAUCGCGAGGGGCUGCUGUGAAAUUAGGACAUCUCUCCAGCCUUUGACUUUGGCUUUCCCAUGCGCUCUUGAUAACUAUAUAAAAAACCCCGUCUGGG